rnacentral:lncRNA from 12 species
ACUGUGCUGGCUGACAUUCAUGCCGCGUGACUACAACGUUCCCUACAAUGUAGCAGGCGCAUGUCGAAAAAGUCCCUUUCAGGUGACCUUGGCUCUCGGAGCCUUCCUGUGUUUCCCGCUCUCAGAGACAGUCCGGGAGCGGUCCGGCUCGGGAACCCCUCCAACCCCAACACAGCGGAGACAAAAGCAAGCCCUUCAGCUUCUUGGAGGUGGGUUCCUUCAAUAAUUGAUUAUUUGCCGCGGCCUGACUGCACGUGGCAGGGACAGUCUGUGGCCAUAAGGCCCAGAGGUCGGGGGGGGCUCGGGCCCAGAGGUCGGGGGUGGCUCAGGCCCCGAGGUGGGGGGUCUCGCAGCCACGCUCUCACAGCGGUGUGUCGUCGGGGAGACUGGAGAGCUCCUGUUCCCUUCACCUCCUGUGUGGGGCGGAUCCCAGAAGCGCCAGCUGUGAGCGGCUUCUUCGGUUAG